rnacentral:rRNA from 1 species
AUUCCAGGUCCAAUAGCGUAUAUUAAAGUUGUUGCAGUUAAAACGCUCGUAGUCGGAUUUCGGGGCGGGCCGACCGGUCUGCCGAUGGGUAUGCACUGGCCGGCGCGUCCUUCCACCCGGAGACCGCGCCUCCUCUUAACUGAGCGGGCGCGGGAGACGGGUCUUUUACUUUGAAAAAAUCAGAGUGUUUCAAGCAGGCAGUCGCUCUUGCAUGGAUUAGCAUGGGAUAAUGAAAUAGGACUCUGGUGCUAUUUUGUUGGUUUCGAACACCGGAGUAAUGAUUAACAGGGACAGUCAGGGGCACUCGUAUUCCGCCGAGAGAGGUGAAAUUCUCAGACCAGCGGAAGACGAACCACUGCGAAAGCAUUUGCCAGGGAUGUUUUCAUCA